GAGACAUUGUCAUCAUCUGCGUGACAGUAGGAGCGGUGGCGAUAACGCUGAUAGGUGCCGUCUCCAUCGGCAUUGCAAUAAAAUGGAGGACAAACCGAAAUCGACGAGAGCAUCUUGGCCAUCCAGAAGUUAACCCCGCUUAUCAGGCCUACGGUGAACGUCAUGACAAUAAUGAGUAAAUGGCCACUUUUAGUCAUUAUGUUAACUGCUCCAAAAAGAGGAUAAACCCAAAUCGUGCAGAGUUACAACAGGGGCAGCCUGACCCUCAAGAGUUUGAUCCACGUUACCAGGACCUUGAGUGGUAUAACAGACAGUGAUUCGGCCAACAACCGCCCCAUCAGUUCAAACAACAAUGUGGAUGCAAACCCUUAAACAGAGGAAAGGUACACAGAGAAACUUUGACAACAGUUAAGUCUGCCAUCAGUUCAUAAUGAAGCCAUGCAUUUAAAUAAAUCCCGGGUCGGAGUUGACCCUGAAUCCCGGAGCCAGAGACGUACCAUUUCUGGGUUAGACUGACAGUACACGGUGGGACUUUGACCCAGAUUGCUCGCAGUUUGACCCAUUUGGAAGUAACUAUUACCAAGAUUCUAGUUUGACCUAUUUCAAAGUAACAUUGACACAGAUUCCGGGACAAACUGACCCCUAAAAGGGUCAGGCCAAUGCGACCCGGAUCUGGAUCAAUUCCGACCCAGGACUUUUUAGACAAAAAAAACAAUGCGUUUACUAUGAAAUUACGUAACAAUCAGCCUAAUUGCACCUUGGUACUUUUGUUUCCAGUCGACAACAGUUCGACUAUAAUAUUCGAUUAAAUAAGCAAAAUAUAAUAUGCAGCAGCCGAUUUUACGAAACGCUAGGAUUAAUCCUAGUUCGAGUUAGGACGAGUAACCCGUCCUAACUUGGGAUGGUUCAAUGCG